rnacentral:rRNA from 1 species
CAGUAGCCGCGGUAGUACGUAGGUGGCAAGCGUUGUCCGGAAUUAUUGGGCGUAAAGGGCUCGCAGGCGGUUUCUUAAGUCUGAUGUGAAAGCCCCCGGCUCAACCGGGGAGGGUCAUUGGAAACUGGGAAACUUGAGUGCAGAAGAGGAGAGUGGAAUUCCACGUGUAGCGGUGAAAUGCGUAGAUAUCGGAAGGAACACCAGUGGCGAAGGCGGCUACCUGGAUUGACACUGACACUGAGGCGCGAGAGCGUGGGGAGCAAACAGGAUUAGAUACCCCGGUAGUCCCUGUCUCUUAUAC